AGGAAGGGCGGUGCAGUUCUGACAGAGUGUGAGUGGUCCUAGGCAUGAGACCGUAGGAUGGAGGAGGGGCAGAAUAUCCCAUCACCUGUCAGAUACUUCUCCAGCCACCGUCUCAGGCAUCACGUCCCUGAGGAUGCUAGGGUCACCCUGCAUAUGGAGAGAGAACAACCCAUGCAGUCCAUGCAGAAGACCUUUUAUAUGAUCCUCAAGGCAGCCGCCAUUAGGUAUAAUGUGAUUGGCAGAACGGUGUUACCUUUAAACAGAUUGGUCUCUAGAGGAUGAGUUUCACCACCCCAACAAGCCUGCCAAUCUCAGCUGAUCUUGGAAACUAAGCGGGUGGAGCCUGGUUAGGACUUGGAUGGGAGACCACCUGGGAGUUCCUGGUGCUGUAGGUCUUGGAGAUGGCAUCAAAGGUGGCCUUGGCAGUCUGAUCAGAGAUGGCUCAACGUUUAAGAGCACUGACUGCUCUUCUGAAGGUCGUCAGUUCAAAUCCUAGCAACCACAUGGUGGCUCACAACCAUCAGUUACAGCUGUGCACCACACCCAGCCCAAGACUUCAGGGCUUCUGAAAGGUAAGGAUGGUACCUGGUGUCCAGCACCGAAGACUUGAAGACCCUGGGUGCUCAGUGAGAUGCCAUCCCACGCUGGCUCCCGUCCCACAGAUGGCAGGGUGCAGGGCAGGGUGCAGGGCAGGGUGCAGGGCAGGGUGCAGGGCAGGGUGCAGGGCAGGGUGCAGGGCAGGCAGGCAGGCAGCCUCAUCCUUUCCCUGUCUGCCUCUGAGCACUGGGUGUAUCGGCUCUGCUGGGAACAGCUCUGUGGACCCCCCACAGGCCCAGUCACAAAGCCAUAGCUCACUCUCCCCCUCGGCUCCCCCAGCCUUAAUUGGGCCAAUCUGUCCGCCUGACACCCUGCGUUCUGGUUCAUUUUCUUCACAAAGCCUCCUCUUGUCACUUGACAGAUUCUCAGCUGUCGUGGGCACAUUUUUCAAUGUGUGCUCUUCACAUAGUUCCCAACCAGGUUUCUGCUCUCCUUAAACCCACCGCACUUUAUAAUUUCUGAGUGAUCUUCCUCUCUGGCUAUUGCUCUUCUUCACGGCUCGAUACGACUUCCCCUUAAAAGCCACUGGGCCUUUGAGAGAUGCUGGGUGGGUUCACAGGGCCACGAUAGCAGCUACGUGGUGGACCAAUGUACUAAUCUGGUUCUUGCCCCAACUGGGCCCAAAGAUGUAGCUUGGGGUAAUCAUCUAUUUGGUAAGCAAUCCUGGAAGAAGAGGAUAUACAGGUAAUACAGAGAGAC